rnacentral:rRNA from 1 species
AACGCGAAGAACCUUACCUGGGCUUGAAGUGCACCGGACCAUCCUUGGAAACAGGGACUUCCCGCAAGGGACUGGUGUAGAGGUGCUGCAUGGCUGUCGUCAGCUCGUGCCGUGAGGUGUUGGGUUAAGUCCCGCAACGAGCGCAACCCUUACUCGUAGUUGCCACCCGCAAGGGGGAACUCUACGAGGACUGCUCCGGAUAACGGAGAGGAAGGUGGGGAUGAGGUCAAGUCAGCAUGGCCUUUAUGUCCAGGGCUACACACGUGUUACAAUGCGCGCUACAAAGCGUCGCGAACCCGCGAGGGGGAGCUAAUCGCAAAAAAGCGCGCUCAGUUCGGAUUGCAGUCUGCAACUCGACUGCAUGAAGCCGGAAUCGCUAGUAAUGGCGCAUCAGAACGGCGCCGUGAAUACGUUCCCGGGCCUUGUACACACCGAUAGC